GACGAACGCUGGCGGCGUGCUUAACACAUGCAAGUCGAACGGAAAGGCCCUGCUUUUGUGGGGUGCUCGAGUGGCGAACGGGUGAGUAACACGUGAGUAACCUGCCCUUGACUUUGGGAUAACUUCAGGAAACUGGGGCUAAUACCGGAUAGGAGCUCCUGCUGCAUGGUGGGGGUUGGAAAGUUUCGGCGGUUGGGGAUGGACUCGCGGCUUAUCAGCUUGUUGGUGGGGUAGUGGCUUACCAAGGCUUUGACGGGUAGCCGGCCUGAGAGGGUGACCGGCAAUGGUGCGCCGUGCGGCCGGCACGGACAGGGGGGGGGGGGGGGCGGGGGGAAGCAUGCAAGGUGGGGGGAGCGCGGGUGGGGGAAAGCGGGGGGCGGGAGGAGGGGCUGGGGGUGGGACGCCGGAGUCGGCGGGGGGGGUGGGUGGGGGAGGGUAAUGGGGAAAGAACCACCGGGGAAGUACGUGCCAACACCCGGGGCAGAAUGGGAAGAGCCAACGUCCAAAC
rnacentral:rRNA from 1 species